AUUGAACGCUGGCGGCAUGCCUUACACAUGCAAGUCGAACGGCAGCACGGGAGCAAUCCUGGUGGCGAGUGGCGAACGGGUGAGUAAUACAUCGGAACGUGCCCAAUCGUGGGGGAUAACGCAGCGAAAGCUGUGCUAAUACCGCAUACGAUCUACGGAUGAAAGCAGGGGAUCGCAAGACCUUGCGCGAAUGGAGCGGCCGAUGGCAGAUUAGGUAGUUGGUGAGGUAAAGGCUCACCAAGCCGUCGAUCUGUAGCUGGUCUGAGAGGACGACCAGCCACACUGGGACUGAGACACGGCCCAGACUCCUACGGGAGGCAGCAGUGGGGAAUUUUGGACAAUGGGCGAAAGCCCGAUCCAGCCAUGCCGCGUGCAGGAUGAAGGCCUUCGGGUUGUAAACUGCUUUUGUACGGAACGAAACGGCCUUUUCUAAUAAAGAGGGCUAAUGACGGUACCGUAAGAAUAAGCACCGGCUAACUACGUGCCAGCAGCCGCGGCAAUACGUAGGGUGCAAGCGUUAAUCGGAAUUACUGGGCGUAAAGCGUGCGCAGGCGGUUAUGUAAGACAGUUGUGAAAUCCCCGGGCUCAACCUGGGAACUGCAUCUGUGACUGCAUAGCUAGAGUACGGUAGAGGGGGAUGGAAUUCCGCGUGUAGCAGUGAAAUGCGUAGAUAUGCGGAGGAACACCGAUGGCGAAGGCAAUCCCCUGGACCUGUACUGACGCUCAUGCACGAAAGCGUGGGGAGCAAACAGG
rnacentral:rRNA from 1 species